rnacentral:rRNA from 1 species
UACGGAAGGCAGCAGUGGGGAAUAUUGCACAAUGGGCGCAAGCCUGAUGCAGCCAUGCCGCGUGUAUGAAGAAGGCCUUCGGGUUGUAAAGUACUUUCAGCGGGGAGGAAGGCGGUGGAGUUAAUAGCUUCACCGAUUGACGUUACCCGCAGAAGAAGCACCGGCUAACUCCGUGCCAGCAGCCGCGGUAAUACGGAGGGUGCAAGCGUUAAUCGGAAUUACUGGGCGUAAAGCGCACGCAGGCGGUCUGUCAAGUCGGAUGUGAAAUCCCCGGGCUUAACCUGGGAACUGCAUUCGAAACUGGCAGGCUAGAGUCUUGUAGAGGGGGUGAAUUCCAGGUGUAGCGGUGAAAUGCGUAGAGAUCUGGAGGAAUACCGGUGGCGAAGGCGGCCCCUGGGACAAAGACUGACGCUCAGGGU